rnacentral:lncRNA from 1 species
UAUCAAAUCGUUCUACUGUGGUUUGUGCUCAACUCAGAGUUCAACAAUCUGUCGUGGAGCUCAUUCUCAGUGACAUGGUUCAGGCAAAGGCACUGAUGUAGUGGAGGUUAAGCUUGACCACAUAACAAAUUUUCAACCUCGCCGUGACCUUCAAACCAUCCUGAUCACUAAUAAACCGUUGCCCAUUCUUAUUGUUUAUAGGUGAGGUUUAAAAUCUUGUGAUUUCUGAACCAUUGUGAUUAUAUUCAAGUAUCUAUGAUUUUUAUUUGAUUAAAGGCCAAAGUGGGAAGGGGACGGUUGGAAGCAUUAAAGCUUGCUUUGGAAUUGGGGGCUGAUUUUAUAGAA